UACGAAGGGGGCUAGCGUUGCUCGGAUUUACUGGGCGUAAAGGGCGCGUAGGCGGAUGUUUAAGUCGGGGGUGAAAGCCCAGGGCUCAACCCUGGAACUGCCUUCGAUACUGGACAUCUUGAGUACGGGAGAGGUGAGUGGAACUCCGAGUGUAGAGGUGAAAUUCGUAGAUAUUCGCAAGAACACCAGUGGCGAAGGCGGCUCACUGGCCCGGUACUGACGCUGAGGUGCGAAAGCGUGGGGAGCAAACAGG
rnacentral:rRNA from 1 species